rnacentral:rRNA from 1 species
UACGAAGGGGGCUAGCGUUGUUCGGAAUUACUGGGCGUAAAGGGCGCGUAGGCGGUCCUGAUCGUCGGAUGUGAAAGGCCUGGGCUCAACCUGGGAACUGCAUCCGAUACGGCGGGACCGGAGUGUGGGAGAGGUUGGUGGAAUUCCCAGUGUAGAGGUGAAAUUCGUAGAUAUUGGGAAGAACACCGGUGGCGAAGGCGGCCAACUGGACCACAACUGACGCUGAGGCGCGAAAGCGUGGGGAGCAAACAGG